rnacentral:rRNA from 1 species
CAGCAGCCGCGGGAAUACGAAGGGUGCAAGCGUUACUCGGAAUUACUGGGCGUAAAGCGUGCGUAGGCGGUGAGUUAAGUCUGCUGUGGAAUCCCCGGGCUCAACCUGGGAAUGGCAGUGGAUACUGGCUCGCUAGAGUGUGUCAGAGGAUGGUGGAAUUCCCGGUGUAGCGGUGAAAUGCGUAGAGAUCGGGAGGAACAUCAGUGGCGAAGGCGGCCAUCUGGGACAACACUGACGCUGAGGCACGAAAGCGUGGGGAGCAAACAGGAUUAGAUACCCCCGUAGUCCCUGUCUCUUAUAC